AUUGAACGCUGGCGGCAGGCUUAACACAUGCAAGUCGAACGAGUGGCGGACGGGUGAGUAAUGCUUGGGAAUCUAGCUUAUGGCGGGGGAUAACUACGGGAAACUGUAGCUAAUACCGCGUACCAUAGGAUGAGCCCAAGUGGGAUUAGGUAGUUGGUGUGGUAAAGGCUCACCAAGCCGACGAUCUCUAGCUGGUCUGAGAGGAUGACCGGCCACACUGGGACUGAGACACGGCCCAGACUCCUACGGGAGGCAGCAGUGGGGAAUAUUGCGCAAUGGGGGAAAGUUGACGCAGCCAUGCCGCGUGAAUGAAGAAGGCCUUCGGGUUGUAAAGUUCUUUCGGUAGCGAGGCGGUAACUACAGAAGAAGCACCGGCUAACUACGUGCCAGCAGCCGCGGUAAUUC
rnacentral:rRNA from 1 species